rnacentral:rRNA from 1 species
UACGAAGGGGGCUAGCGUUGCUCGGAAUUGCUGGGCGUAAAGCGCACGUAGGCGGAUUGUUAAGUCGGGGGUGAAAUCCUGGAGCUCAACUCCAGAACUGCCUUCGAUACUGGCGAUCUCGAGUCCGGGAGAGGUGAGUGGAACUGCGAGUGUAGAGGUGAAAUUCGUAGAUAUUAGGAGGAAUACCGGUGGCGAAGGCGGCCUUCUGGACCAUUCUUGGCACUGAGACGCGAAAGCGUGGGGAGCAAACAGG